CUGGAAAUGCUGAGAAUGGAGAUGGAACCCCAAUUUCUCCGCCAACUCAGAGGCCAUUGCUUAGGCUGCCCUGGGAGACUUGCUCGUCUUUGAAACCAUGAGCCUCUUAUGGACAAGAGAAGCCCUGUCACGAGCUUUAACACAAUGGAACCAGCUUAUUCUUGAGGUAGUGAGUUUCCUGUCUCUGGAUGUAUUUAAGCAAAGACUGAACAGUCACCUAGCAGGGUUAAGGCACCAUUGUGCUGAGAGCACAACUCACCACUGUCGCCUGCCCUCAGCCUCUCCCAACCAAAAACCACGAGUACCUCGAGACAAAUACAUUAUGGAGACAACUGUCAUCACAACCACAUGUGGUAUUAUUUACUCACGUCAGUUUGAAUGAUUAAUGUGGAAAAGUGGCUGGGCAGCUAAUGAGAUUGAGGGCCGUGUAGAACAAUUUCUAUGUGAUUUUAAACAAUGCCCACUCUGUCCGUGGAGAGUCACAGAAACAUGAAUAGCUGGCGCGGCUGCCUCCUCUCUCUGCUGACUCCCUGUCUCAGCUGGGUCCUCCCAGCACACUCCCUACUCCCAGAGACUCCAAAUUUUCCAUCUGCAGCCAAGGAAGAGAAAGCAAGGACCCUUUCUAUUUCAGCAGCCUGGAGCUGUGGGCAGUGGCGGCCAUCUGGCUGACGUCAUUGGUGACUCCUCAGACAGCCAGAGGACAGAUGAGACUUAGGGGGCCUUGCGAGAGAGUGAGGAUUGUUGGCCGCUCUUUGCCUUCUUUAAUGAGUGGCUGCGUAGACAAGGUUAUAAACCAAAUGAUGCUUCAUUCUUCAGAGAAACAGCAUGGAAGCGGAAGAGUUUGAAAAAGAACAAGGUGCUACAAACAAGUCAGGAAUUUGUUCUGCAGGCCUGUCAAGUCUAUAAAUAUCUAGAAUCCUGCUUACCAAGUAUUGGUGUGAGGUAUGUCUCCAGGGUUGAUGAUGAAACCGAUGCUCACAGAGUUGAAAUAAGCUGCUGAAGGUCAUGCAGUGACAAUGGGAAGGAGGAAAUAACCUGAGAGAGUGCACACCAAUCAUUUCAACGGCAAAAUCCAAAAGUGGCACACAUCGUUUCAGAUCCCAUCCCAUUGGUUGGGACAUAGUCACUGGUUUCACCUAGCUGCAAGAAAGGAUGGAAAAUGAAGUCGUUACCUGGACAGCUGAGCCAUGUGCUCAGCUAAAACUGAGAAAAGGGAUUUGGGGGCACAGUUAGCAAUCUGCCACAGCUUCCAACGAAGGUCUUGGAAUCCAGAAGGUUGGCAAUCCAGAAGAGCAUUGUACAGCUGCCCCUUCAUUCUAUAAUUCCUGUCUCACUCAACUUUGAGCCUUUGAGAUGUAAGCAUUGGAAACGUUAGAGUCAGAUAGUGAAAGCUUUGCUAAUUUGACAAGGAAUGAAGUUUCAUUAAACUUCUAAAUGUGGCAUUUUUAUAGGUUAUGGCCAAACUGAAGUUGGCCAAGCGUGAAUGUCAUUAGCUGCAGUUUUGUUUGUACUCCAUAGUAUGUUGUUCCUCUCUCUCUCUCUUCCUCCCUCUCCUUCUCUACAUUUUCUUUCUGUUUUUGGGACUCUCCUUUUUGCAUCGAUAGGUACUCAAGAAAAAAAUUCAGGGUUUCAGUUGGAAAAAACAAGUUUUAAAGUAGAAUUUUCAACAAGACGCCUAAUGAACAGUGGUCUAUUCGCACAGCUGAACACCCUAUUCACAAAUCUCUUUCUCUUAUAGAUUUGUGAGGAACAGGAGGUUAUAUUCUCUGCAUGGGAUUUUGCUUCUGGGCUAGGGUUGACUGCAAGUUUAUUGGAAUGAGCACUACAUUUUGUUUUGUUUUCACCAUAAGGGACUUCUGCAAGGAGCCGCAGUGCUCAUCACGUGCUGUGAGGAAAAUGGAGAGAGUUUGCAGAACAGUUCUCUCCCUUCAUUCAAAAUUAGGUUCAAGCUGAGAACCGCUGGUGAUUUUUCAAGUCCUGUUUUGGAUGAAAUAAGCAGACAUGUUUGAAUUAAUUAAUGUUGUAAGGCGACUCUUAGCACUGAGACUGAGCUAGUGCCUGAUAGAAGGAGCGCUGAGCCAGGAAUCACAAAACCCCUGUCCUAGCUUUGGCAUCGCCACCAACUCCUUGUAGGACUAUGAACAAAUCGCCAACAUUUCUGUGCCUUCGUUCCCCACUUACAUAAAUACAGAGAUAUUUGCACUUCUAGAAGAAGAAUGGUUGUGUCGAUACUCUGGUGUGACUUUGUUAUGAUAACACAGGAAGACUGAGGUGCAGUGGGCCCUUGCGAAUCAUCCUCCCCUCCAUGAACCAGGUGGAAUAGACCAUUCCCUUCUCAGAGACCCCUGGACCCUACAUCCUAGUACCCUAUACUAUAAGUCCUGCAAUAUUUGGUGGCUUAUAUUUUAUUUAUGGGUCUGCUUUCCCAUGGGCUUCUUAAAGAGUGUGCAUUUCUCAUUUGAUCGCUACAGUGCCUACUACUGUGGUUGGCACUUGAUAUUGGAUAAAUGAAUGAAAUAAAGCACACCCAAAGUUAGAUGGCUGGUCAGGGGCUGGUUAGUGGCUGGUUAGGGCUGGGUCAAGUCUGGUUACUCCCAGACCAGUCUUUUGCAUAUUUGACCUCUCCCUACUCUCAAGAAUAAGGGUGAAAUAGGAUAUCAAACGUAAGAAGUGCUCACGUUCUGGAGAUUCCGGUGCAGGAGAGGAGUGGUUUCCUCUGCUCAGGCUUGUUCUGCUAUUUCAGCCUCUUGGUCCUUAAUGAUGGUUUAUUCUCAUAGCACACUUCUCUCUCUCGUUUACCUCAAGAAUCUCUGCUUGGGAUAGAGGUGAGCAGAGGUUGGGCAGAGGUGCCUCAAGCCAAACCAAGGA
ensembl:lncRNA